CUCUGGUCUGUAUUACUGUGAUGUUCAGACUGAUGAUGGUUCUGGUUCUGGAUCCUGUGGACUCAACGUCUCUGCUGCUGAUCAGCUUCAACCUCAGAGACCAACUUUGACUCCAGAACCAGAGAGACGGACAAAGAUCAUCUGGAUCACAGCAGCAGCAGCUUUGGUGGUUUUAUGUAUUAUUGUCCUGGUUUUUACAUUUAUCUGUAAGAAGAAGAAGAAAAAAAGGGGGGUUCAAGUAUUAUAUAAACAUUCAGUGUGUUUGAGAAUCAUCAUCUGAACUCUUGAAGGACAUUUUGAGAAAAAUCUUGAACUUCUGUUUUAAAGAAUUAACAAUAUUUAAACUUUUGAAAUCUAUCAAAACAAUAAAACAUGACUUUAAAUGCACAAUAACUUGUUUUAUAUCUUGGUACUCAGUAGAUGUUUUAGACCCUUUCUACUUUAACUCCAGUUCCUUUCUUACUUUCUUCAUAUCAGCAGAGGUCGUUUGUAUCUCCGGUUAAUGCUAAAUAUCAGAUUAACUGAAUCUGACGUUGUUCCACCUGCAGCUGUAACUUAUUAUUGUGAAGAAG